UACGGAGGGGGCGAGCGUUAUUCGGAAUUAUUGGGCGUAAAGGGCGCGUAGGCGGCGCGGUAAGUCAAAGGUGAAAUCCCUCGGCUCAACUGAGGAACUGCCUUUGAUACUGCCGUGCUCGAGGCCGGGAGGGGGUAGCGGAAUUCCCAGUGUAGCGGUGAAAUGCGUAGAUAUUGGGAGGAACACCAGUGGCGAAGGCGGCUCACUGGACCGGUACUGACGCUGAUGCGCGAAAGCGUGGGGAGCAAACGGG
rnacentral:rRNA from 1 species